AUGGGGAUUGGCUACGACACGCGCAUCCACAAGCACAAGGUGGUCCGUCUCUACAGCAGCGGCGACCUGCCCCCAGCGUGCGAGGUGUAUGUACUCAACUCCACGGGACAAUGGAGGCCCCCGGCCGGUGCAGCCGAUAGGACGUUGCCGCUGGGUUACGCAACGAAUUUCUGCAGACACCAGAGCAUAUUUGCGCAGGGCCACCUGCACUGGGUCGCGCAGCCUGAUAGGAAGUUCAACUCCGAGAGAAUCAUCAUGUCUUUCUCGAUCAAUGACGAGGAGUUCGGGAUCUUGCCGCUACCGCCCGUCAAAAUGUACCCCUGCGUGAUAAGGGAGCUCGACGGGCGUCUCUGUGUCUUCAAAAAUUCCGAUGAGUUCAAGCGCUCGUAUGAUAUCUGGGUGCUGCGUGACCACCAGGCGGGCGCUUGGGAUCUCCAUUGCCGCAUUGACCUGGACACGCCACCGCUGGCAGACACUCAGUUGAUGCGCUCCCGUUCGGUCAUCCCGCUUGGUACUGUUCAUGAUGGUAGAUGCCUGCUGCUCAGACCGGAUCCUGAUUUGAUCGAAAGCGAAAGUUUGGAAUCUCACAAGCUUUUCAUGUACAGACCUGUGACCGGAGAUGUUGAGGACCUCCUCGCCGGCGGCGGCAUACUUACUCACCACACCAUGGCCCAAAGAGUUGUGGCACCAUAUGAGGAAAGCCUUGAGUCCACCGGUUACGGUGAUACUAAGUCACAAGCAUGA
rnacentral:rRNA from 1 species